rnacentral:rRNA from 1 species
GAGUUUGAUCCUGGCUCAGAACGAACGUUGGCGGCGUGGAUUAGGCAUGCAAGUCGCGCGUGAAAGUACCUUCGGGUGCGAGUAAAGCGGCGGACGGGUGAGUAACACGUAAUCAAGCUGCCCUCGAGAUCGGGAUAACCACGGGAAACCGGGGCUAAUACCGAAUGGACCUCUGUGUCGCAUGGCACGGUUGGUAAAGGCGGGGAUCCUUCGGGACCUGCUGCUCGGGGAGGCGGUUGCGGCCUAUCAGCUAGUUGGUGAGGUAACGGCUCACCAAGGCAGCGACGGGUAGCAGGCCUGAGAGGGUGGUCUGUCACACUGGGACUGAGACACUGCCCAGACUCCUACGGGAGGCUGCAGUCGAGAAUCUUCCGCAAUGGGCGAAAGCCUGACGGAGCGACGCCGCGUGGAGGACGAAGGCCCUUGGGUUGUAAACUCCUGUCACGAGUUAUGAAAGCGCGUAACCUAAUACGUUGCGUGUUGACGUAAGCUCGAGAGGAAGCACCGGCUAACUCUGUGCCAGCAGC